UUCCUACGGGACGCAGCAGUGAGGAAUAUUGGUCAAUGGACGAGAGUCUGAACCAGCCAAGUUGCGUGAAGGAUGACUGCCCUAUGGGUUGUAAACUUCUUUUAUAUGGGAAUAAAAUGUUCCACGUGUGGGAUUUUGUAUGUACCAUAUGAAUAUGGAUCGGCUAACUCCGUGCCAGCAGCCGAGGUAAUACGGAGGAUCCGAGCGUUAUCCGGAUUUAUUGGGUUUAAAGGGAGCGUAGGUGGAUUGUUAGGUCAGUUGUG
rnacentral:rRNA from 1 species